UACGUAGGUGGCGAGCGUUGUCCGGAUUUACUGGGCGUAAAGCGCGCGCAGGCGGGGUGUUAAGUCUCUUGUGAAAUCGCCCGGCUCAACUGGGCGGGUGCCGGGGAGACUGGCAGCCUAGAGGCGCCUAGAGGCCGGUGGAACUCCCGGUGUAGUGGUGAAAUGCGUAGAUAUCGGAAGGAACACCAGUGGCGAAAGCGGCUUCCUGGUCCAGCACCGACGUUCAGGCACGAAAGCGUGGGGAGCAAACAGG
rnacentral:rRNA from 1 species